AUUGAACGCUGGCGGCAUGCCUUACACAUGCAAGUCGAACGUGAAAGGGGGGCAACCCCGAGUAGAGUGGCGGAUGGGUGAGCAACACAUCGGAACGUACCCAGUAGUGGGGGACAACCUCGAGAAAUCGAGGCUAAUACCGCAUACGACCCACGGGUGAAAGCGGGGGACCGCAAGGCCCCGCGCUAUUGGAGCGGCCGAUGUCCGAUUAGCUUGUUGGUGGGUAACGGCCCACCAAGGCGACGAUCGGUAGCUGGUCUGAGAGGAUGAUCAGCCACACUGGGACUGAGACACGGCCCAGACUCCUACGGGAGGCAGC
rnacentral:rRNA from 1 species